GAUGAACGCUGGCGGCGUGCCUAAUACAUGCAAGUCGAGCGAACGGACGAGAAGCUUGCUUCUCUGAUGUUAGCGGCGGACGGGUGAGUAACACGUGGAUAACCUACCUAUAAGACUGGGAUAACUUCGGGAAACCGGAGCUAAUACCGGAUGAUAUUUUGAACCGCAUGGUUCAAAAGUGAAAGACGGUCUUGCUGUCACUUAUAGAUGGAUCCGCGCUGCAUUAGCUAGUUGGUAAGGUAACGGCUUACCAAGGCAACGAUGCAUAGCCGACCUGAGAGGGUGAGCGGCCACACUGGAACUGAGACACGGUCCGGACUCCUACGGGAGGCAGCAGUAGGGAAUCUUCCGCAAUGGGCGAAAGCCUGACGGAGCAACGCCGCGGGAGUGAUGAAGGUCUUCGGAUCGUAAAACUCUGUUAUUAGGGAAGAACAUAUGUGUAAGUAACUGUGCACAUCUUGACGGUACCUAAUCAGAAAGCCACGGCUAACUACGU
rnacentral:rRNA from 1 species